rnacentral:rRNA from 1 species
CAGCACCUCAAGUGGUCAGGAUGAUUAUUGGGCCUAAAGCAUCCGUAGCCGGAGCUGUAAGUUUUCGGUUAAAUCUGUACGCUCAACGUACAGGCUGCCGGGAAUACUGCAGCGCUAGGGAGUGGGAGAGGUAGACGGUACUCGGUAGGAAGGGGUAAAAUCCUUUGAUCUAUUGAUGACCACCUGUGGCGAAGGCGGUCUACCAGAACACGUCCGACGGUGAGGGAUGAAAGCUGGGGGAGCAAUCCGGAUUAGAUACCCGAGUAGUCC